rnacentral:rRNA from 1 species
AUAAUAAAAUUUUAAUUAAUAAUAAUUAGUUUAUUUUUACAUUUAAUUAAAAUAUUUUUAAAAUAAGAAGUUUUAGUAUUAAUUGAGAAAAAAUUAUAUAGUUGAUAGUUUAUUAGUAUUGAAAGAUAAUAAUUAAUUUAAUGAAAAAGAAAUUUUAAUUUAUUGUAUCUUGUGUAUCAGAGUUUAUUAAAUUAAAUUUAAUUUUUUUAAAUUUCUCGAAAAAUAAAAAUUUAUUUAAUUAAUUUUUUUUUAAUUUGUCAAAAUUAUUAAUUAUAAUUAAAUAUAAGUAAAAAGUUAUUUGUUUUAUUUGAUAUCUAGUUUUUUUUGAAAUAAAUUUAAUUUAAUUUAUUGAUUUAAAAGAUUUUUAAUUGUAAUUAUUUUUUAAUUAAUUAAAAAAUUUUUAAGGGUUAAGCUUUAAAAAUUUAUUAGAUUAUAUAUUUAAGUUUAAAAAAUUUAUAUUAUUUAUAUUGUUUAUUAAUUUUAUUUUUUUAUAAAAAAUUUUUUUAUAUUUAUUAUUUUGUUUAAAAUUAAUGAUUUAAGAAAAAAAUUUAAUAAUAAUUGAAUUUAUGUUAUAAUGAUAAAAUUAGUAUAAAAUAAAUUAAUUAUAUAUAAAUUUAAUUUAUUUAAAAUUAAUGAAUUCGGCAAAAAUUUUAUUCAACUGUUUAACAAAAACAUUUCUUUAUGAUAGUGUUUAUAAAGUAUAAUCUGCCCAAUGAUUAUAAGUUUUUAUUAUUAAAAAUUUAAUAUAAAUUUAUAAUUAAAAGGCUGCAGAAUUUUAACUGUACAAAGGUAGCAUAAUAAUUAGUUUUUUAAUUGAAAACUUGAAUGAAUGAUUUUAUGAAAUAAAUUCUUUUUUAAUUUUAAUAAUAAAAUUUUAUAUUUUAGUGAAAAAGCUAAAAUUUUUGUAAUAGACAAGAAGACCCUAUAGAUCUUUAUAUUUAUAUAAUAUAUUUAUAUUUAUAAUAUUUAGUUGGGGUGACUAUAAAAUAAAAUAAACUUUUAUAAAUAAAAACAUUAAUUUAUGAAUAUUUGAAUUUUUUUAUAAUUUGAAAAUUAAGAUACCUUAGGGAUAACAGCAUAAUUUUAAAUUUUAGAUCUUAUAAAAUUUAAAGAUUGUGACCUCGAUGUUGGAUUAAGAUAAUAUUUAGAUGAAAAAAGUUAAAUAUUUAGUCUGUUCGACUAAUAAUUUCUUACAUGAUCUGAGUUCAGACCGGCGUGAGCCAGGUUGGUUUCUAUCUUUAUUUUUAUGAAUUAAUAUUAGUACGAAAGGAAUUUAUGUUUAAAUAUUUUUUUUUAUUAAGAAUUAUAUUAA